AGGAGAUCACGCAUGACCUCUCCCGAAUGCUCACGGGACAUGGAGCUGCGCAUGCGCAGAACUUCCCUAGCCAGCAACCCCUACUUCACACCUAACUGAGCGAGCUCCCCGGUUGUGGCCCGGGAUGACAAUACCCGCGUAGCACUGAGCAGUGUCUGUGUUACACACUGAGAUGGUGGGCAGGUUAACAUAAGGUGCCCCUGUGCGAAGCUGGCGGUCAGCCGUGGGAUCAGUACUCCCGGAAGACACGACUCCCGGAAGACACGGCUGCCGGAGCUGCCUGGAUCCCAUCAGGGAAGCUUCCAGGAGUGCUGUGGCCAACAGUAGUAGUGGCUCCAAUGACAGCAGCAGUGAACUUCAGCACAACUCACUGGCCAGUAUUCUGGAGGAUGUGACACUGAUGUCAGCCAGAUUUUCAGUGGAGACAAUGGCACAAGAUGCCAACAGAAGCUUCUCCCAGGUUCUCUUCAGAUAUUUGAGCAUAUUUCCAGACCUCUUCAGGGAGAGGGCGUUUGACUCUGCUGAUGGGAACUUUGGCAGUUCUGUUUCUGAAGGGAACUCAUGAGAGAACUGCCAAGAAAGGUUGGGAUAUUUGGGUUCUGAUGAAGUUUACAAAGCUAAUUUUUAAAUUCCACUUCAAGAGGGCUCCUUGCUGUUCCCUGAGCCUUUGCAUCCACCACAUUCUCCACACUGUCUGCAGUUAGGUCUCGAUUCACAUGUCGCCUUUCCCGAUGACCCUAAAACGGCAAGAAUCCUUCCUACUUCGUGUGCCUUCACCAAGCUUCCUGCUCUAUUUCUCCACAUAGCACUUACCUGUCAAAUAUCUCUAUAUAAAUAAAAUAUAUGUAUUUAUAUAUAAUUUAUAAAUAAUAUAUAUAUUUCUGUAGUGUAUGUCAUCUCUCACCAUAAUAAAUUGUAUGAAAAAAAGGACUUUAAUUUCUUUCCUGUUAUCUUUUUGGUGUAUAAAACUUUGCCUGGUGCAGAGCAGGUGCUCAAAACAUUUUGUUAAAUGAAUGAAAUUAUGAACAGAUGUCAAUGAAGGUUCUUAAAUAAAAUAUUAUUGUGUAGAAAAUAAAUGUACACUUUAUAAUGCCUUCACAAUAAGGAAAGCCCCUGUUUACUCAUAUGUUUUACUGAAGGAUUAACACUCAACCUUCAACAAUAAAAAUUCAUGUUGUACAAAAUAAGGUGUGUGUGCUAACAAUAACUUGGAGUUUUUUUGCAUUAGUAAAAAUUAGGCAUUUUUUUCUGAAAAAGAGAAGGCAUCACAACAUUAUUGUUAUUAGUUAUUAGAAGAUAAAUGUUAUUAGAAGAUAAAUACAGAGUGGAAAUGUCUGAGACUUGAAUACUGUUAAACAGCGAUGUGCUCCUUUGUCAGAAUGUAAUUAUUAAUUUAUUUUUUAUAAGGGAUGUAUCUAUGUAAUAGGAAUUUUAGAAAAUACUGGAAACACUAAGAAGAAAAUGUAAAUCGCAUUUUAUUUCAUCAUCAGAGGUAACUGAUGUUAAUUUGAUAUAUACCUAAUAUGUGUUUUAGAUGAGAAUUACAAAGCAUUGGUAUUACAGUUUACGAGUUUUAUGAAACCUGGUAUUGUUCUAUUUAAUAAUAUAUCUAAAUAUCUUCUCAUGUUAUUAAAUGUUACCCUACAUGACAUUUUAAUAGCUUAAUAGUAUUUUACUUUAUGGAUGAAAACUAUUAAUUUAGUGAGUCCCGUAUUGUUGGACAUUUACAUUAUUUAUGAUUUUUCACUGUUACAAACAAUAUUUCAAAGAGCAUCCAUAUAGUAAAGCUUUAUACCUACCCAUGGUUAUCUCCUUAGAAUGAAUUUCUGUAAGUGGAAACUUUAGGUCACAGAAAGUAUGCACUUUUCACUCACUUUAUAUUUACCUCCAAAUUAUUCUCCAGAAAGAGUAUGGCAAAUUUUUCUUCCUACAUCAGUGUACAGAGUAUAAGUAAAUUAAUUUUAUAUAAUGAGGAGGAAAUGUUAUUUUGACAGCUAAGUUCAAAGUUUAUUUUAAAAUAAAAGCUUUUGUUUGGAAAAUCACUUUAAUAUAUGCUUAUGGUAGAAGGUAAGCUUCCCGAGGGCUUACAAGUCAAUAGCUGCUUUGUAUGGGGCAAGGGGAGAAAAAAGGCUUUUUUCAUACUGAGUUGGGUAAGAUGGUGAGAGUUCUGGACCAUUGGAAGGGCCAGUAAAACCCCAUGGAAGUCAGGAGUUUCAAUGGUAUGUGAAUAUCAUUCUUCAGAAAACAAACAAACAAAAAUACUACUGUAAAGUUGUUUGCGUUGUUGUUACAAGUUAUGUAAAGUUAACUCAUGAGAAGCUUGUGUGAAUGGAGUUUUUAGUAGAAGUUGAAGGGAGGUUGAUUAUUAUCUUGGGGUCACUGUGGGGUAGCAUUUGAGUUGAUAAACAGGGAGCUAGGAACCCAGGAAAAGAAGGGAUGAUGAAAGUCAAGUCCUCAAGAAUGUGCCGAAAUCUUGGUGAGAAGCUUGUAUUUCCUAGUUCAUUGGGACAGUGGAGAGACAGCAAUGAUUGAGUGACGUUUGUUAAUUUCCUGGGGGCGUGGAGGCUCCCACCUGACAUCUGACUUAUAUAUUAGUAAACUCUAGAUAUUAGUUUUGAAGACCUUUUAAUGUGAAUAUUAAAGUUGUCACAGCAGGCAAUGUUCAAAGCUAGUUCUGUUAUUGUUGCCAUUAGAUCCAGAAUAGUGAGGCUGGUAGAACCCCUUAAUUCGUGUUUUCUUUUGGUCAUGAUGAGAUAGAUAAAAGUAUACAGUGACUGUAAAGAGAGAUCAGCAUGAAAAAGUGUAAGCCUGGGUUGGGUUGUCAGAUUUGGCAAAUAAAAAUAUUGCAUAUUAAUACCAAAAAAAUGUUCAUUGUUUCUCUGAAAUUCAAAUUUAAUUGGUGUCUUGUAUUUUAUCUGGCAAACUUAAGCUUGAGUUUCUAAUAAGGACGAAGCGACCAUUCAGGAGAUGCG
ensembl:lncRNA